GAUGAACGCUGGCGGCAUGCCUAAUACAUGCAAGUCGAGCGAAGGGUUCGGAAGUUUUCUCCCCUGAGUUUGUCGCGGGAGGGGUGAUUAACUUGUGGUUAGCCUACCAAUAAGACUGGGAUACUUUUGGGAAACGGGGUCUAAUACCGAAUGAUUUUUUGACCCGCAUUGUUCCAAAGUAAAAGUCGGUCUUGCGUGCACUAAUGGACGACCCCGGACUCCAUUCUCAGGUUGUCAAGGUAACGGCUUACCAAGGCAACGAGGCAAAGCCGACCUGAAAGGGUGGUUGCCCACACUGUAAGUGAGACACGGUCCAGACUCCUACGGGAGGCAGCAGUAGGGAAUCUUACGCGAUGGGCGAAAGCCUGACGGAGCAACGCCGCGGGAGUGAUGAUGGUCUUCGGAUCGGAAAACUCUGUUAUUAGGGAAGAACAUAUGUGUAAGUAACUGUGCACAUCUUGACGGUACCUAAUCAGAAAGCCACGGCUAACUACGUG
rnacentral:rRNA from 1 species